rnacentral:lncRNA from 1 species
AUUACUCUUGUUAAUAUGCAGGUCCUAUUAAACUUGUGUGUAAAUGCAAAAUAAACUUGUCGGUCACCUCAGGUCACCUGGAGAACACUUUCAGAAACCACCUGUAGAGUCAGAGGAAAAAGCUCUUCUCUUGCCUUUAAAUCUGAAAACAAAGACUGCAAUUGUUUUUAUUCCUGGGAUACAGCAGGAAGGUAGGGUGUUAUUCUUAAGGUAGAAAUAAGAAAAAGAUAUUUAUUGAUUUUUUCUUAUUAAGAACAGUAGAAGUUUAUCUGAGAUUGAUGAUGUUUUUGCUGUUUUCACAAUACAAAACAUUGAUUUUGCUUAUAAAGAUUUUUUCUUAUAAAUAUCUUUUAACUACAAUAAACACAUUUAAAU